GACGAACGCUGGCGGCGUGCUUAACACAUGCAAGUCGAACGGAAAGGCCCUGCUUUUGUGGGGUGCUCGAGUGGCGAACGGGUGAGUAACACGUGAGUAACCUGCCCUUGACUUUGGGAUAACUUCAGGAAACUGGGGCUAAUACCGGAUCGGAUCUCCUGCUGCAUGGUGGGGGUUGGAAAGUUUCGGCGGUUGGGGAUGGACUCGCGGCUUAUCAGCUUGUUGGUGGGGUAGUGGCUUACCAAGGCUUUGACGGGUAGCCGGCCUGAGAGGGUGACCGGCCACAUUGGGACUGAGAUACGGCCCAGACUCCUACGGGAGGCAGCAGUGGGGAAUAUUGCACAAUGGGCGGAAGCCUGAUGCAGCAACGCCGCGGGCGGGAUGACGGCCUUCGGGGUGUAAACCGCUUUCGCCUGUGACGAAGCGUGAGUGACGGUAAUGAGUAAAGAAGCACCGGCUAACUACGUG
rnacentral:rRNA from 1 species